ACUCUAAGCGGUGGAUCACUCGGCUCAUGGGUCGAUGAAGAACGCAGCAAACUGUGCGUCAUCGUGUGAACUGCAGGACACAUGAACAUCGACAUUUUGAACGCAUAUCGCAGUCCAUGCUGUUAUGUACUUUAAUUAAUUUUAUAGUGCUGCUUGGACUACAUAUGGUUGAGGGUUGUAAGACUAUGCUAAUUAAGUUGCUUAUAAAUUUUUAUAAGCAUAUGGUAUAUUAUUGGAUAAAUAUAAUAAUUUUUAUUCAUAAUAUUAAAAAAUAAAUGAAAAACAUUAUCUCACAUUUGAAUGUGAAAAACGAAGAGAAAUAUUUUCUUUUUCAAUCAAAUAAUACUGAGAAAUGUCUAGCAUAAAAAAUUGAAAUAUUUUUCAUCUAGAAUUGUCUCUUAUUAAUGAUUCGGAAAUAGAAAAAUCUUGGUUAUGUUAUUAUUCUUCGUUGGUUCGUUAAAAAUGGAUAAAUAAAAACUUUGCAUACAAGAAUUAAUAAAAAUGUUAUAACGAAUUUAAUUAAAUGUUUUAUCAUUAUAUAUAAAGAAUUUAUGGCAAGAUAAAGUUAUAUACAACCUCAACUCAUAUGGGACUACCCCCUGAAUUUAAGCAUAUUAAUUAGGGGAGGAAAAGAAACUAACAAGGAUUUUCUUAGUAGCGGCGAGCGAAAAGAAAACAGUUCAGCACUAAGUCACUUUGUCUAUAUGGCAAAUGUGAGAUGCAGUGUAUGGAGCGUCAAUAUUCUAGUAUGAGAAAUUAACGAUUUAAGUCCUUCUUAAAUGAGGCCAUUUACCCAUAGAGGGUGCCAGGCCCGUAUAACGUUAAUGAUUACUAGAUGAUGUUUCCAAAGAGUCGUGUUGCUUGAUAGUGCAGCACUAAGUGGGUGGUAAACUCCAUCUAAAACUAAAUAUAACCAUGAGACCGAUAGUAAACAAGUACCGUGAGGGAAAGUUGAAAAGAACUCUGAAUAGAGAGUUAAACAGUACGUGAAACUGCUUAGAGGUUAAGCCCGAUGAACCUGAAUAUCCGUUAUGGAAAAUUCAUCAUUAAAAUUGUAAUAUUUAAAUAAUAUUAUGAGAAUAGUGUGCAUUUUUUCCAUAUAAGGACAUUGUAAUCUAUUAGCAUAUACCAAAUUUAUCAUAAAAUAUAACUUAUAGUUUAUUCCAAUUAAAUUGCUUGCAUUUUAACACAGAAUAAAUGUUAUUAAUUUGAUAAAGUGCUGAUAGAUUUAUAUGAUUACAGUGCGUUAAUUUUUCGGAAUUAUAUAAUGGCAUAAUUAUCAUUGAUUUUUGUGUUUAUUAUAUGCACUUGUAUGAUUAACAAUGCGAAAGAUUCAGGAUACCUUCGGGACCCGUCUUGAAACACGGACCAAGGAGUCUAACAUAUGUGCAAGUUAUUGGGAUAUAAACCUAAUAGCGUAAUUAACUUGACUAAUAAUGGGAUUAGUUUUUUAGCUAUUUAUAGCUAAUUAACACAAUCCCGGGGCGUUCUAUAUAGUUAUGUAUAAUGUAUAUUUAUAUUAUUUAUGCCUCUAACUGGAACGUACCUUGAGCAUAUAUGCUGUGACCCGAAAGAUGGUGAACUAUACUUGAUCAGGUUGAAGUCAGGGGAAACCCUGAUGGAAGACCGAAACAGUUCUGACGUGCAAAUCGAUUGUCAGAAUUGAGUAUAGGGGCGAAAGACCAAUCGAACCAUCUAGUAGCUGGUUCCUUCCGAAGUUUCCCUCAGGAUAGCUGGUGCAUUUUAAUAUUAUAUAAAAUAAUCUUAUCUGGUAAAGCGAAUGAUUAGAGGCCUUAGGGUCGAAACGAUCUUAACCUAUUCUCAAACUUUAAAUGGGUAAGAACCUUAACUUUCUUGAUAUGAAGUUCAAGGUUAUGAUAUAAUGUGCCCAGUGGGCCACUUUUGGUAAGCAGAACUGGCGCUGUGGGAUGAACCAAACGUAAUGUUACGGUGCCCAAAUUAACAACUCAUGCAGAUACCAUGAAAGGCGUUGGUUGCUUAAAACAGCAGGACGGUGAUCAUGGAAGUCGAAAUCCGCUAAGGAGUGUGUAACAACUCACCUGCCGAAGCAACUAGCCCUUAAAAUGGAUGGCGCUUAAGUUGUAUACCUAUACAUUACCGCUAAAGUAGAUGAUUUAUAUUACUUGUGAUAUAAAUUUUGAAACUUUAGUGAGUAGGAAGGUACAAUGGUAUGCGUAGAAGUGUUUGGCGUAAGCCUGCAUGGAGCUGCCAUUGGUACAGAUCUUGGUGGUAGUAGCAAAUAAUCGAAUGAGACCUUGGAGGACUGAAGUGGAGAAGGGUUUCGUGUGAACAGUGGUUGAUCACGAGUUAGUCGGUCCUAAGUUCAAGGCGAAAGCCGAAAAUUUUCAAGUAAAACAAAAAUGCCUAACUAUAUAAACAAAGCGAAUUAUAAUACACUUGAAUAAUUUUGAACGAAAGGGAAUACGGUUCCAAUUCCGUAACCUGUUGAGUAUCCGUUUGUUAUUAAAUAUGGGCCUCGUGCUCAUCCUGGCAACAGGAACGACCAUAAAGAAGCCGUCGAGAGAUAUCGGAAGAGUUUUCUUUUCUGUUUUAUAGCCGUACUACCAUGGAAGUCUUUCGCAGAGAGAUAUGGUAGAUGGGCUAGAAGAGCAUGACAUAUACUGUUGUGUCGAUAUUUUCUCCUCGGACCUUGAAAAUUUAUGGUGGGGACACGCAAACUUCUCAACAGGCCGUACCAAUAUCCGCAGCUGGUCUCCAAGGUGAAGAGUCUCUAGUCGAUAGAAUAAUGUAGGUAAGGGAAGUCGGCAAAUUAGAUCCGUAACUUCGGGAUAAGGAUUGGCUCUGAAGAUUGAGAUAGUCGGGCUUGAUUGGGAAACAAUAACAUGGUUUAUGUGCUCGUUCUGGGUAAAUAGAGUUUCUAGCAUUUAUGUUAGUUACUUGUUCCCCGGAUAGUUUAGUUACGUAGCCAAUUGUGGAACUUUCUUGCUAAAAUUUUUAAGAAUACUAUUUGGGUUAAACCAAUUAGUUCUUAUUAAUUAUAACGAUUAUCAAUUAACAAUCAAUUCAGAACUGGCACGGACUUGGGGAAUCCGACUGUCUAAUUAAAACAAAGCAUUGUGAUGGCCCUAGCGGGUGUUGACACAAUGUGAUUUCUGCCCAGUGCUCUGAAUGUCAAAGUGAAGAAAUUCAAGUAAGCGCGGGUCAACGGCGGGAGUAACUAUGACUCUCUUAAGGUAGCCAAAUGCCUCGUCAUCUAAUUAGUGACGCGCAUGAAUGGAUUAACGAGAUUCCUACUGUCCCUAUCUACUAUCUAGCGAAACCACAGCCAAGGGAACGGGCUUGGAAUAAUUAGCGGGGAAAGAAGACCCUUUUGAGCUUGACUCUAAUCUGGCAGUGUAAGGAGACAUAAGAGGUGUAGAAUAAGUGGGAGAUAUUAGACCUCGGUUUGGUAUCGUCAAUGAAAUACCACUACUCUUAUUGUUUCCUUACUUACUUGAUUAAAUGGAACGUGUAUCAUUUCCUAGCCAUUAUACGGAUAU
rnacentral:rRNA from 1 species